CAAUAGCGUAUAUUAAAGUUGUUGCAGUUAGAACGCUCGUAGCCGGAUUUCGGGGCGGGCCGACCGGUCUGCCGAUGGGUACGCACUGGUCGGCGCGUCCUUCCUUCCGGAGACCGUGCCUACUCUUAACUGAGCGGGGGCGGGAGACGGAUCGUUUACUUUGAAAAAAUCAGAGUGUUUCAAGCAGGCAGCUCGCUCUUGCAUGGAUUAGCAUGGGAUAAUGAAAUAGGACUUUGGUGCUAUUUUGUUGGUUUCGAACACCGAAGUAAUGAUUAACAGGGACAGUCAGGGGCACUCGUAUUCCGCCGAGAGAGGUGAAAUUCUCAGACCAGCGGAAGACGAACUACUGCGAAAGCAUUUGCCAGGGAUGUUUUCACUGA
rnacentral:rRNA from 1 species